UGGGGAAUAUUGGACAAUGGGCGAAAGCCUGAUCCAGCCAUGCCGCGUGUGUGAAGAAGGUCUUCGGAUUGUAAAGCACUUUAAGUUGGGAGGAAGGGCAGUAAGCGAAUACCUUGCUGUUUUGACGUUACCGACAGAAUAAGCACCGGCUAACGCUGUGCCAGCAGCCGCGGUAAUACUGAGGGUGCAAGCGUUAAUCGGAAUUACUGGGCGUAAAGCGCGCGUAGGUGGUUCGUUAAGUUGAAUGUGAAAGCCCCGGGCUCAACCUGGGAACUGCAUCCCAAACUGGCGAGCUAGAGUAGGGCAGAGGGUGGUGGAAUUUCCUCUGUAGCGGAGAAAUGCGUAGAUAUAGGAAGGAACACCAGCGGCGGAGGCGACCACCUGGGCUCAUACUGCCACUGAGGUGCGAAAGCGUGGGGAGCAAAAAGG
rnacentral:rRNA from 1 species